GCGCCAGACUCCCACGGGAGGCAGCAGUGGGGAAUAUUGCACAAUGGGGGAAACCCUGAUGCAGCGACGCCGCGUGAGUGAAGAAGUCUUUCGGUAUGUAAAGCUCUAUCAGCAGGGAAGAAAAUGACGGUACCUGAUUAAGAAGCCCCGGCUAACUACGUGCCAGCAGCCGCGGUAAUACGGAGGAUGCGAGCGUUAUCCGGAUUUAUUGGGUUUAAAGGGUGCGCAGGCGGCACGGCAAGCCGGCGGUGAAAUCGCGGGGCUCAACCCCGGCCAGCCGUCGGAACUGCCGGGCUAGAGUGGGCGAGAAGUGCGCGGAAUGCGUGGUGUAGCGGUGAAAUGCAUAGAUAUCGCGCAGAACUCCGAUUGCGAAGGCAGCGCACCGGCGCCCUACUGACGCUCAGGCACGAAAGCGUGGGUAUCGAACAGGAUUAGAUACCCUGGUAA
rnacentral:rRNA from 1 species